AGGAGCAGCAGCAGCAGCUUGGUAAAGAGGCUUCCACUUUAAAAAUAAAGUCCUGUUGAAGUUUGUUAGUACCUUGCCUGGUUGAUUCAAAAUUUUGCUGAUGAGGAUAGAUCUUCUGCCUCUGAACCCACCUGCACCCUUUCUGCAAAGCCCAGGUACGUCCCUGCAACAUCUAGCUACAACAGAAGACUCAGCUACAGGUGAAGUUUCAGCCUACAAGUCAUUUCUUUAAAUAAUGGUGUGACUGAUCGCCUAAGUGUCAUUGUAUUGGUUCGGUUCCCUGACUGGAUGACUGCACUUUUUAAUCAGAAGAUUAAUGAAUAGUGAAUAACCAAUACUGUUGUGCAUUCAUGAAUACCCUUGUUCCCGUGACUACAAGUAUUUGUAUGAAAAUCAGCCAUUUCUCCAAUAUCCAUAGGAACAAAACCUCAUUGAAUGACAAACAGAAAUGAGCACAAAGUUGAUGGCAGCAAACAACUAUUCUGAAAUCAUAUGGAAGUUCAUGAACUUGGUUUUAUCAUUCAUGCCUAACCCUAUGACUAAACACAGCAUCUUAGGAUGGAGCUGUCUCUUUAUAUGUGUUUCUACAGAGCCCUCCAUAAUAGAACCUUUCAUCAUAGGUGCUUUAGGUGCUAUGAUAAUAAUAUCUAUUGUUUAACAUGUUUUUUCUGCUUAUCAGUUCUGAAUUUAACCAGCCUCAUAACCCAACUGAGGAGUAAUAUCUGUAUAGUUAAAGUGGAAUUGGAGUGUACAACUUUUAGGGAGGCAGAGUGGUGCUGUGUACAGGGCUUAUGACUAGGAAUCAGAAGAAUGUGUUCUAUUUUUAGCUCUGUCCCAAAAUUACUAG